GCCGCCGCCGCCGCCAAAGCCGCCGCCGCAGCCGCCGCCGUGGCUUCAGCACCAGCGCCGGGACAGCGGUGCCGCCCACGGGCAUGGACGGUGACAGCAGCAGCAGCAGCGGCGGCGGCAGCGGCCCCGCUCCCGGCCCGUGUCCGGAAGGGGAGCAACGGCCCAAGGGGGAGGCCUUGGCCCCAGACGGCGGCUCCCCGGACAGCACCCAGACCAAGGCUGUGGCCCCUGAGGCAAGUCCAGAGAGAAGCUGCUCCCUCCACAGCUGCCCCCAGGAGGACCCUUCCAGCUCUUCGGGACCCCCACCAACAACUUCCACCCUCCAGCCUGUGCGUCCAUCCAGCCCCUCGGCCCCUGCCCACUUCCCCUAUCCCCAGGCACUGCAGGAAUAUCCGGGGGGCAGUUCCCUGCCAGGACUUGGGGAUCGGGCAGCUCUCUGCUCCCAUGGCUCCAGCCUCAGCCCUUCCCCAGCCCCCUCACAGCGUGAUGGGGUCUGGAAGCCACCCGCUGUGCAGCACCACGUGGUCAGCGUCAGGCAGGAACGAGCCUUCCAGAUGCCAAAGAGCUAUUCCCAGCUGAUUGCUGAGUGGCCAGUGGCUGUGCUGCUGCUAUGUCUGGCUGUCAUCUUCCUCUGCACCCUGGCUGGACUGUUGGGGGCCCGGCUGCCUGACUUCUCCAAGCCUUUACUGGGCUUUGAGCCACGGGACACGGACAUUGGGAACAAGUUGGUGGUCUGGAGAGCACUGCAAGCCCUCACAGGCCCCAGAAAACUGCUUUUCCUUUCCCCAGACCUUGAGCUGAACAGAUAUUCUCUCCACUUCAGCUCAAGCUCCCACAACACUCUGAGAUCUGCACCCAGGGGCAGUGCCCAGGAGAGCAUUGUCCGGCCUCGGAGGAUGGUGGAGCCCCUGGAGGACAGAAGGCAAGAGAACUUCUUCUGUGGCCCCCCUGAGAAGAGCUACGCAAAGCUGGUGUUCAUGUCCACCUCCUCGGGCAGCCUAUGGAACCUGCAUGCCAUCCAUUCCAUGUGUCGCAUGGAACAGGACCAGAUCCGCUCACAUACCAGCUUUGGGGCUCUGUGCCAGCGGACAGCAGCCAACCAGUGCUGUCCCAGCUGGUCCUUGGGCAACUAUCUGGCUGUGCUCUCCAACCGCUCCUCCUGCCUGGACACUACCCAAGCUGACGCAGCCCGAACACUGGCCCUGCUUCGGACCUGUGCCCUCUACUACCACAGUGGUGCCCUGGUACCCUCUUGUUUGGGACCCGGGCAGAACAAGUCCCCACGCUGUGCCCAGGUUCCCACCAAGUGCUCCCAGAGUAGUGCCAUCUACCAACUCCUGCACUUUCUGCUUGACAGGGACUUUCUGAGUCCCCAGACCACUGACUACCAGGUGCCCUCCCUCAAGUACAGCCUGCUCUUCCUGCCCACCCCAAAGGGUGCUUCCCUGAUGGACAUCUACCUGGACCGGCUGGCCACCCCCUGGGGGCUCGCUGACAACUACACCUCCGUAACCGGCAUGGACCUGGGCCUCAAGCAGGAGCUGCUGAGGCACUUCCUGGUCCAGGACACGGUGUACCCCUUGCUGGCUCUGGCUGCCAUCUUCUUUGGCAUCGCCCUGUACCUCCGCUCACUAUUCCUCACGCUUAUGGUGCUGCUGGGGGUGCUGGGCUCACUGCUGGUGGCCUUCUUCCUUUACCAGGUGGCCUUCCGCAUGGCCUACUUCCCCUUCGUAAAUCUGGCAGCCCUCCUCCUGCUCAGCAGCGUCUCCGCCAACCACACACUCAUCUUCUUCGACCUGUGGCGCCUCAGCAAAAGCCAGCUGCCGUCCGGGGGGCUGGCGCAGCGCGUGGCCCGCACCAUGCAUCACUUCGGCUACCUGCUGCUGGUCUCCGGCCUCACCACGAGCGCGGCCUUCUACGCCAGCUACCUGAGCCGCCUGCCGGCCGUGCGCUGCCUCGCCCUCUUCAUGGGCACGGCUGUGCUGGUGCACCUGGCCCUCACGCUGCUCUGGCUGCCCGCCUCCGCCGUGCUCCACGAGCGCUACCUGGCUCGCGGCUGUGCGCGCCGGGCGCGGGGCAGGUGGGAGGGCAGCGCGCCCCGGCGGAUGCUCCUGGCGCUGCACCGGCGGUUCCGCGGUGUGCGGAGAGCGGCGACCGGCACCUCGCGCCUGCUCUUCCAGCGCCUGCUGCCUUGCGGCGUCAUCAAGUUCCGCUACAUCUGGAUCUGCUGGUUCGCGGCGCUGGCGGCAGGGGGCGCCUACAUCGCAGGCGUCAGCCCCCGUCUGCGGCUGCCCACGCUGCCGCCGCCCGGCGGCCAGGUCUUCCGGCCCAGCCACCCCUUCGAGCGCUUCGACGCGGAGUACCGCCAGCUAUUCCUGUUCGAGCAGCUGCCGCAGAGCGAGGGCGGCCACUUGCCCGUAGUUUUGGUGUGGGGCGUCCUGCCCGUGGACACCGGCGACCCUCUGGACCCUCGUAGCAACAGCAGCCUGGUGAGGGACCCUGCCUUCUCGGCCAGCGGCCCCGAGGCCCAGCGCUGGUUGCUGGCACUCUGCCACCGGGCCAGGAAUCAGAGCUUCUUCGACACCCUUCAGGAAGGCUGGCCCACGCUGUGUUUCGUGGAGACCCUCCAGCGCUGGAUGGAGAGCCCCAGCUGUGCCCGCUUGGGGCCUGACCUCUGCUGCGGCCACUCAGACUUCCCCUGGUCCCCCCAGUUUUUCCUGCACUGCCUGAAGAUGAUGGCUCUGGAGCAAGGCCCCGAUGGCACCCACGACCUGGGACUUCGCUUUGAUGCCCAUGGCAGCCUGGCCGCCCUGGUCCUGCAAUUCCAGACCAACUUCCGUAAUAGCCCGGACUACAACGAGACCCAACUCUUCUACAAUGAGGUCAGCCACUGGCUAGCAGCGGAGCUGAGCAUGGCACCUCCAGGUCUCCGCCGCGGUUGGUUCACCAGCCGUCUAGAGCUGUACAGCCUGCAGCACAGCCUGAGCACUGAGCCUGCUGUGGUGCUGGGCCUGGCUUUGGCGCUGGCCUUUGCCACACUGCUGCUGGGCACCUGGAAUGUUCCACUCAGCCUAUUCUCCGUGGCAGCUGUGGCAGGCACCGUGCUCCUCACUGUAGGACUCCUGGUUCUACUCGAGUGGCAGCUCAACACUGCCGAGGCCCUUUUUCUCUCUGCCUCAGUGGGUCUCUCGGUGGACUUCACGGUCAACUACUGCAUCUCCUAUCAUCUGUGCCCACACCCUGACCGCCUGAGCCGCGUGGCCUUCUCUCUGCGCCAGACCAGCUGUGCCACAGCAGUGGGGGCUGCAGCCCUUUUUGCGGCAGGUGUGCUCAUGCUGCCCGCCACGGUGCUGGUCUAUCGCAAGCUGGGCAUCAUCCUCAUGAUGGUCAAAUGCGUGAGUUGUGGCUUUGCCAGCUUCUUCUUCCAAUCUCUCUGCUGUUUCUUUGGGCCAGAAAAGAACUGUGGGCAGAUCCUCUGGCCCUGUGCCCACCUGCCAUGGGAUGCUGGCACUGGAGACCCUGGUGGGGAGAAGGCAGGUCGUCCACGACCAGGGUCAGUGGGAGGGAUGCCCGGGUCCUGCUCAGACCAUUAUGAGCUACAGCCCUUGGCACGGCGUCGGAGCCCCAGCUUUGACACCAGCACAGCCACCAGCAAGCUGUCCCACCGGCCCUCAGUACUCUCUGAAGAUCUGCAGCUCCAUGAUGGCCCCUGUUGCUCCCGGCCCCCACCAGCCCCUGCCUCCCCAAGGGAGCUGCUGCUGGACCACCAGGCAGUCUUCAGCCAGUGCCCUGCCCUGCAAACCUCCUCCCCCUAUAAGCAGGCUGGCCCCAGCCCCAAAACCCGGGCCAGGCAGGACUCCCAAGAGGAGGAAGCUGAGCCCCUGCCGGCCUCGCCAGAAGCCCCAGCCCAUUCCCCCAAGGCCAAGGCUGCAGAACCUCCUGAUGGCUUCUGUUCCUCAGCAAGCACCCUGGAGGGGCUCAGCGUCUCUGAUGAGACCUGCCUAAGCACCUCUGAGCCCAGUGCCCGUGUACCAGAUUCUGUGGGUGUGUCCCCAGAUGAUCUGGAUGACACUGAGCAGCCAGUCCUUGAGCGGGGCCAGCUGAAUGGGAAGCGGGACACCCUGUGGCUGGCACUGAGGGAGACAGUGUAUGACCCAUCGUUGCCUGCCUCCCACCAGAGCAGCUUGUCCUGGAAGGGCCGCGGGGGGCCAGGGGAUGGCAGCCCUGUGGUACUGCCCAAUAGCCAGCCAGACCUGCCAGAUGUUUGGUUACGCAGGCCCAGCACCCACACGUCAGGCUACAGCAGCUGAGGGGGACCUGGGGAGGCCGGACGGGGCAUAGAACCCUGUCAGGGAUGACACGGCAGGGGCAGCACCUGGCUGAAGCCGAAAGGUAUUUCUCCAGAUCCACAGGGAGAGGUCUCACCCUCCAACUGUGGAUGUUAAACCCUGCCAGAUGUCCCAGCCUUCAUCUGUCUGCUCCUACUCCUCACAUCUGGAGGAUUCCAGUGAGAGGGGUUUUGGAGGGGACCUGCUUGUGACCUGGUGAGGGCUUGUCUGUCCCCAUAGCACCAUCUAAGACCCCUCUUCUAGAAGUGAGGAAGGCCAGAUGUCUAGCUUCUGGUAUCAGAGGAGGGUGACCUGGCCCCCAUCCCAACUUCCAAGAACUUCAGUGAGACUAAGGGACCCUAUCCUCGGGAUCUUGUCAGGUUCCUCACUGACCAGAAGAGCCUGCAGGAAUCUCUGCAGCCUCCUGGGUCUCACCCCUUUCAUGGGCUCUUCAUAAGGACACUUCCGUCUCUUUGGGGAGCUUCUCUGGGCAGAAUUGGGCUUGGGACCUCUCUCCCAAACUGCCCUGCUCUCCUCACACUCACUGGUUUGACCAGAAAUUCUCCAAAUCCAGCCAUAGGUGGCUGCUGGGAGCGCAGCAGGAGAAGGAGGAUGGUCAGCCUCGGAGCAUCUCUAAAUUACAGGACAGUCCCUCUUUGGAAGCAGGCUCCUGUGCUCUUCUGUGUUAAUAAACAGUAAGAAUCCUCUACAUCCCUGUACAUUUUAGUCUCGUUGGAAUCUAUCUCACUACUUCUUUACAGGGCAUCCUGAGGUUGGUUAGGUUCUUUUGCCCCCAGUUUAUAGGUAAAGACACUGAGACUAAGCAAGAUGAACUGACCCCAGAGUCACUUAGCCACUAAAUGGCAGAGAGGUUUCAUUCCACCACUACAGCCUCCAGUCUCCCCUUGGCUACCUGCUUUGGGGACAUUGGCAUAUGGCUGUCUUGAUCUUUUACCUCUAGCACCCUCCUCCAACCUGCUUUCUCUGGUGUCUCCAAGCGAACCCAGCCACCCUCUUUGGGCCUCCACUUCCUGAGAGCUGUAUUCCAAACAAACCCAGGAGUUCCUCUCCAUCUCACCUGUGCUUCCCUCUGGAAUCUGGCUGAGAUGCCUGCUGCCCCUGGGGCAUCCUGGCUGACCUGAUCAGGGGCAUGCCUCUUCUACGGCCACAGUGUAUGGAGAGGCCCCACCAGAAGUGGUACUGAGGACAGAAGAGGCGAGGCCGAAUCCAAUCGAGGCAAGAACUCAUACCUUCCCUUUGAGGAGUGUAUGAGUCUGAAGCUGCUUCCCAGGUCAGGGUCCCCAGCUUUUUAAGGACAAGUCUGUGGAGUGGUAAGCAGACCAAAAGCUGACUCCUCCUCCCCAAAGCAGAGUCUGGUGGGGAAGUUUUAUCCCAUGUGAGAGCUCAUGACACCAGGUGGCAUCAACACGUUUAUUGAACACCUACUUUCCAUGUGGUAUUACCGGAGACAGAGGUGUGGAAGAAAAACUGAACACCACCCUCAAAGAGCUCACCUUCUAGCUGGGGAGACAGCUUACAUACACACGCAGGAAUCAGAUGGUUCACCGACAGCGCCAUAUGCCUGGCAUCAUCAUUGUUGAAGCUCAAGUACCCAGGACUGGGUAACAAGAAAGGCUUUCUGGAGGAAGAAAAACUUGAGCUGGGCUUCAGAAGACCAAGCAUCUCAGACUGGAAGGGGCCUUGGCGAUCAUUUAUUCCAGCAGUUUUCAAACUUUGUGGCCUCAGGACUCUUUCUUCAAAGAACCUCUGUGUGGAAAAACAGUAUAUAAAACAGCUCCAAAGUUUGAACAAAAACAGACUGAAAGUACAGAUACAACUUCUCCUUUUCAGCCAAGAUGGAAGAGCAGGCAGGGGCCAAGUUUACCCUCCUGCCUGAAACAACCAACCAAACAGAAAACACAUGAAACAAUUCAAAUUCAUUGAACAUGUUAUAUUGCAAAAUAUACAUAGCAAGACUUCAUCUCUAUAUCUCUUCAUCUCUCGGUUUCAAGACACCAGACCCGAGGUAACAAAAGACAGUCCCUCUGAGGCAAGUAACAAGCAAGGUGAGCCCCUCGGUUGCCCAGCUUACUGCUUGGGAGGAUGUAUUUCAGGGAGGAAAAACCCAGGCAAAACAAGUGACUCUGAGCUGAGGGGACAGCUGAGAGUUUGGAGUAGCCAAGGUGGCUGGAGUGCUCAGGACAGGGUAGGGGAGAGGAGAAAGGUGGAUGCAUAGAGAAUUCUGGGGAUCUGCAAAGGGCCCCCCUUGAGUGUUCAACAGAGCAUGAUUCAUCAUAUAAGUGUAAGGAAACCACUUGAGGCCAAGGAAAGAAUCACCCAAAAACAAUGGGCCGGAACAAUAGCCAGAAGCUACACAGAGCCUGGACAGUGCCUGUCCCCAUCAGCCAGAUCGGAAAACCUCAUAAUUUACGGAGCACUGGUCAGAACUCUCAGAGGGGCUUUGCCUUGUAGUGAGGAUUUGUCAGCCCUAGUUCAAACAUUGCUAGAUUCCACCUAGCAAAUCUCAAAAGCAAGACCUGAAGGAAUCCAACUGUUUCUAAAUAACUGAACUGCAUCCCAGAACAAAGUCCAAGAACAUUUACAGAAAUCCAAAAUUAACAAGCACCCAAAAAUGUAAAAUUCACAAUGUCUGGUUCUCCAAUAAAAAAUUACCAGUCAUGCAAACUAUGACCCUUCAUAAGGAGAAAAAGCAAUUGAAACCACCACAGCUGACACAUAUGUGAGGAUUAGACAAGGUCAUUAAAACAAUUAUUAUAACUGUAUUUUGUACGUAGUAAAUAGAGACUAGGAAGAUAUUUUUUAAAUACCCACUUUGAACUUUAGAGACAAAAAACCAAAAUGUCUGAGAUGGGUUGGGUAAGGUAGGCAGAAAGAGGAUAGGAAGAAGUACCAAGGGGAAUGAAAAAUGUUUUGGGGAUGAUAGGUGUGUUUAUUAGUUUAAUUGUGGCAAUGGUUUCACAGGUAUAUGUAAUUUCUAAACUUAUCAAAUUGUACAUUUAAAAUAUGUGGUUUAUGGAAUGUUAAUCAUAUCUCAAUAAAGCUGUUAAAAUUGUACUGAAACAAAACCAUUGGGGGAAACUGGGUGAAGAAUACAAAGGACCUCCUUGUGCUAUCAUUCAUUGUUAAUUCCUGUGCAAUUAUAACAAUUCCAAAAUAAAGAAUUUAAAAGUGUUUUUAA